GUAUAUAGGGCCCUAUUAUGGAUAUCACUUUCACGUUCACUUACACUUCACCCUUCAAUCACUUCACUUGUUUUGGUCUAUUCCCGUUGUCACGGACGGUGAAGUGAUUGAAAAUGAACUCAGUGGAGUGACAACUGCAGUGUAGUGGUAUUCAUAAUCGCAAUGUUUAUAGUGCAACAUCGGAAGCCACAAACUGUCACUUGCUGCGUUCGUUGUUCUUUCUUACAUAUGAAAGUAGAAGAGUAUUCAUUACUUAUUUGCUUAAUUGUUGCUAAAAAGGUGGGAUAGUUCAGUUUUUGUUUCAAUCAUGAGCGUGGAACUUUGGUUUGAUACUGACAGUGAAGACGACGAGGAGUAUGCCAAUCUUGCCGUAGAACGUAGGCGUAUAAGGGAUUACUCUAAUCCACUAGAUCAAACAGAAAAAUCUUUUGUCAAAUUGUUUAGAGUGUCAAAAGACAUUUUUUCACUCCUGCUGGAAAUCAUUGAUACGAAACUGAAACCAUCUAGUCAUUCAACUGCAGUUUCUCCAUUGAUUAUGCUAGCGGCUUCUUUGAGGUUCUUUUCCGAAGGAAGUUAACAGAGGGGUGUUGGAAAUUAUCGAUAUGUUGGAUUGGCGCAACCUACGAUGUCAAAAGUAUUGCAGUUAGUUUUGGACAUACUUGAGAAGGAAAUAUGCCCCGUCGAAAUCGUUUUCCCAACCGACGAACGUGAAAAGCAUAUCAUAAAACAGGGCUUUUACGAACAAACGGGAUUUCCAGGAGUCAUCCGUUGCGUAGACCGAACCCAUGUGAGCAUAAUAGCUCCAACUCAUGACAAACACCUAUUUUACAACCGAAAAGGGUUCUACAGUCUAAAUGUUAUGUUGGUAUGUGAUCACAAUCUGUUGAUCCGAUAUGUGGACGCCAAUCACCCGGGUUCCUCUCACGAUUCAUUUGUUUGGAAUGGAA